ACUGCCUAGAUAAAGAUUUUUUAUUUUUAUUCCCAGCUUCUUGCGGCUACCGGAGGAGAUGGGAAGCCAUUCUUUGGAUUGAGCGUGCUGGAUGAAGCAUUGACCAACUCGACGUCGCUGUUCGCGGCGCUGUCGGCGGCGCACGCGGCACACUCGCUGCAGACGCUGGCCGGCUUCAUGGACGUGCUCGCGCUCGCACGCAACGUCACCGUCACAGCACUGACCGGGUGAGGUGCGGCGCGUCCACGGACACAUGACUCACUCCACAAAGACUAACUACCUAAUUACCACAACGAAAUUGGACCACCAAGCCACAAGGAUAGGCGAGCGACAAGGAUAUACCAAAAAGCCCAAGUGCCAUGUACUGUAAUAGUAGGUUAUGUAGUAGAUAGCUAUUUAAAUGUAGCUAAAUAAUUAGAUUAGAUAGUUAAGUAGUGUAAAAUGGUUAAAAUAAUAACGUUCUACCUGUAGAUAAGGGUAGUUUCCGACUUAUUCAAUAAAAACAUU